CAAAACUCCAGAGUUUGAUCAUGGCUCAGAUUGAACGCUGGCGGCAGGCCUAACACAUGCAAGUCGAGCGGUAGCACAGAGAGCUUGCUCUCGGGUGACGAGCGGCGGACGGGUGAGUAAUGUCUGGGAAACUGCCUGAUGGAGGGGGAUAACUACUGGAAACGGUAGCUAAUACCGCAUAACGUCGCAAGACCAAAGUGGGGGACCUUCGGGCCUCAUGCCAUCAGAUGUGCCCAGAUGGGAUUAGCUAGUAGGUGGGGUAACGGCUCACCUAGGCGACGAUCCCUAGCUGGUCUGAGAGGAUGACCAGCCACACUGGAACUGAGACACGGUCCAGACUCCUACGGGAGGCAGCAGUGGGGAAUAUUGCACAAUGGGCGCAAGCCUGAUGCAGCCAUGCCGCGUGUGUGAAGAAGGCCUUCGGGUUGUAAAGCACUUUCAGCGGGGAGGAAGGCGUUAAGGUUAAUAACCUUGGCGAUUGACGUUACCCGCAGAAGAAGCACCGGCUAACUCCGUGCCAGCAGCCGCGGUAAUACGGAGGGUGCAAGCGUUAAUCGGAAUUACUGGGCGUAAAGCGCACGCAGGCGGUCUGUCAAGUCGGAUGUGAAAUCCCCGGGCUCAACCUGGGAACUGCAUUCGAAACUGGCAGGCUAGAGUCUUGUAGAGGGGGGUAGAAUUCCAGGUGUAGCGGUGAAAUGCGUAGAGAUCUGGAGGAAUACCGGUGGCGAAGGCGGCCCCCUGGACAAAGACUGACGCUCAGGUGCGAAAGCGUGGGGAGCAAACAGGAUUAGAUACCCUGGUAGUCCACGCCGUAAACGAUGUCGAUUUGGAGGUUGUGCCCUUGAGGCGUGGCUUCCGGAGCUAACGCGUUAAAUCGACCGCCUGGGGAGUACGGCCGCAAGGUUAAAACUCAAAUGAAUUGACGGGGGCCCGCACAAGCGGUGGAGCAUGUGGUUUAAUUCGAUGCAACGCGAAGAACCUUACCUGGUCUUGACAUCCACAGAACUUACCAGAGAUGCUUUGGUGCCUUCGGGAACUGUGAGACAGGUGCUGCAUGGCUGUCGUCAGCUCGUGUUGUGAAAUGUUGGGUUUGAGUCCCGCAACGAGCGCAACCCUUAUCCUUUGUUGCCAGCGGUCCGGCCGGGAACUCAAAGGAGACUGCCAGUGAUAAACUGGAGGAAGGUGGGGAUGACGUCAAGUCAUCAUGGCCCUUACGACCAGGGCUACACACGUGCUACAAUGGCAUAUACAAAGAGAAGCGACCUCGCGAGAGCAAGCGGACCUCAUAAAGUAUGUCGUAGUCCGGAUUGGAGUCUGCAACUCGACUCCAUGAAGUCGGAAUCGCUAGUAAUCGUAGAUCAGAAUGCUACGGUGAAUACGUUCCCGGGCCUUGUACACACCGCCCGUCACACCAUGGGAGUGGGUUGCAAAAGAAGUAGGUAGCUUAACCUUCGGGAGGGCGCUUACCACUUUGUGAUUCAUGACUGGGGUGAAGUCGUAACAAGGUAACCGUAGGGGAACCUGCGGCUGGAUCACCUCCUU
rnacentral:rRNA from 1 species